UGGGGAAUAUUGCACAAUGGGCGCAAGCCUGAUGCAGCAACGCCGCGUGAGCGAAGAAGGCCUUCGGGUCGUAAAGCUCUGUCCUAGGGGAAGAAGAAGUGACGGUACCCAAGGAGGAAGCCCCGGCUAACUACGUGCCAGCAGCCGCGGUAAUACGUAGGGGCGAGCGUUAUCCGGAAUUAUUGGGCGUAAAGAGUACGUAGGUGGUUUUGUAAGCGCGGGGUGAAAGGCAGUGGCUUAACCAUUGUUAGCCUUGCGAACUGCAAGACUUGAGUGCAGGAGAGGGAAGCGGAAUUCCUAGUGUAGCGGUGAAAUGCGUAGAUAUUAGGAGGAACACCAGUGGCGAAGGCGGCUUUCUGGACUGUAACUGACACUGAGGUACGAAAGCGUGGGGAGCAAACAGGAUUAGAUACCC
rnacentral:rRNA from 1 species